GUAACACUCACCGCGAGGGUCCGCGGCUUCAUUCUUGAAGUCAGUGAGACCAAGAACCCACCAAUUCCGGACACAGAAUUUCAUGGAGCCUGGAGCCCAGGAAAAGGGUGAAUCCAAUGCAGGCUGAUUUCUGGCUUACAUCACAGUCCAGUCUGAUUUUCUGCAGAUUACUUUCUACAAGACGAUUUGGGACCUCAGUUUACCACCUCCCAGCGGACCGACGGGUGCGGUGAGUGGAGAUGAUUUUGUGAGAGUUUUUAGGACAAUCCUGGAAGUGGGUUUGUCACUUCUGGCUGCACUCCAUUGGCCUGAAAGGAAUCACACGGCCCCACCCCAAUGCGGGAGGCUGGGAGUGUUCAGCGCCUGCAGAGAAGGUCAGGUGGGCUGGAAGCCCUGCGCCAGGCAUGGCCACGCCCUGGUGAAGGUGCUCGACAAAUGUGAACAUCUCCACCUAAGCCCCCCUUGGCACCACCACUGAGUCAGUCUGUGUUUUGGAUGUUUAAUUUUGGGGUUCAAUUUGCUGAUGGUGAAUUUGACAAUGAUGUUAUUGAUUAAUUCAUUUAAAGGGAGGAGAAUCACAAAUAUUGUGGCUAGUACAGAACAACCUCUUCCACCAAGCCAGUUGUGACUGUUGCGGAUGGAGAUGGACACCUAGUGAAUGAUUUAAUCCACCAACAAUUGUGGCACACAGGCAUCGUCUUCCCCACGCCAGGACUCAGAGGCUGAGCCCAGGGUGCUGAGAGGCUGAGCCCACAGCUCCGGGGUGAGGAAUGGAGCUCCCCGAGCGCGGCUUAUCUUUCAAGGGAGCUCACACUCUUUUACAACAACCCUCGAGAGGAGAGGACACGCAGAGGGACACCAGGGAAGAGGGUGGCGAGACAGUGGAAGCAGAGGCUGCAGCGAGGCAUGGACAUCUACAAGCCGAGGCACAGCUGGGAUGGCCGGCCACCGGGAGCUGAAGGGACAGGGAAGGAGCCCCCGGAGGAAGUGCUGCUGGCCCACACCUUGAUCUCGGACUUCCAGCCUCCAGAGCUGGGAGAGAAGAGAUUCCGUUGUGCAAACACCUGGUCUAUGGUGCUUCGUCCUCGCAGAUGCGGCAAGCGGGUCCAGCCAAGAAUAAAUGCGAGUUUGCAAUAGUUUCAAAGUAACCCCUUCCACAGACACAAAUUGUUCAUUAGUUAUAAAUAGAACAACAGUAACUUUACAGUGGAAAAAGCUGGCGGACAUCAUUUUAGCCACAUAAUCAAAGUUAACGUCAACAGUAAGGAGAAAAUCAACACCACGUGUCUUCUGACAACAACGCGCUGAUGGGAGCCCAACAUCAUUUACACCAUAAAUCAAAUGUUUAUCCGUUGGCGAUUCCAGCCAAAAAUAGAUAACCUGAUCCAAUCAUGAGGGAACUUCAGACAAACCCAAACUGAAGGACAUUCUACAGAAUAACUGGUCUGUACUCAUAACAAAGAAUCAAUGUCAUGAGGGACCAUGAAAGGCUGAGGAUGUCCCACAGGUUGAAAGUGACGAAAACAAACAAAAAACAACCAGCAACCAACUACGAUGCACAACCUUGGAUUGGAGCCUUCUCAAAAUUGCUGAAAAUAACAGUGGAACAAGUGGUGAAAUUUGAAUAUGGGCUAUAUGUUAGGUAUUCAUUUUAUGUCAAUGUUAAAUUUUCCGACAUUGAUAUUUGUACCAGGAAAUGUAAAAGAAGGCCCAAAUUUAGCGAUAAAUUAUGCCUGCCACUCACUCUCUCCAAUGAUUCAGAAGAUAGUACGGAUGAUGAACAGAUGACAGAGACAUGGUAGGUAGAUCAAUAGAUGGAUGGAUAGAUAGAAAAUAUGAAAUAAGAAACUCCUGGACACGAACCGUACAGACCAAGUUCAUCACUCCUGUGAGGGAGAACCUUGAAUUCCCAUAAGAAAAACUGAAUGUGCAGGAAGCGUAUCUCAUUCAGUUCACAAACCAUGAUGGGUUCUGUGUUCACCCUGGCUAACUAUCUACUUCUACCUCUCCUCUCCUCCUCUCCUCUCCUCUCCUCUC
rnacentral:lncRNA from 1 species